rnacentral:rRNA from 1 species
CUGGCUUCGGCCGCUCUGAUCUAUACACACCUGUGAACUGUUGGCCUUCGGGUCUUUUAAUUACAACUGUGACGAACGUAAAUUAUUAUAACAAAAAUAAAACUUUUAACAACGGAUCUCUUGGCUCUCGCAUCGAUGAAGAACGCAGCGAAAUGCGAUAAGUAAUGUGAAUUGCAGAAUUCAGUGAAUCAUCGAAUCUUUGAACGCACCUUGCGCCCGUUGGUAUUCCGACGGGCAUGCCUGUUUGAGUGUCGUGAACAACCUCAACCUUGAUUGGUUUUACCAUCAAGGCUUGGACUUGGGUGUUGCUGCUGCAAAGUGGCUCGCCUUAAAAUCAUUAGCUGGACUUGUCUAUGACUUGGUUCGACUCGAUGUAAUAAGUAUUCAUCGGGGACAGGGUAAAACCUGGCCAAGGCUUGAUGCCGUCUGCUUCUAAUCAUGUUCUCACUAUGAGACGCUACUUUACUGUGUGGCCUCAAAUCAGGUAGGAUUACCCGCUGAACUUAAGCAUAUCAAUAAGCGGAGGAAAAGAAACUAACAAGGAUUCCCCUAGUAACGGCGAGUGAAGCGGGAUGAGCUCAAAUUUGUAAUCUGGUGGACUCAGUUCAUCCGAGUUGUAAUCUAUAGAAGUGUUUUCCGCGCUGGACCGUGUCUAAGUCCCUUGGAACAGGGUGUCAGAGAGGGUGAGAAUCCCGUGCUUGAUACGACCACCAGUGCUAUGUGAUACACUUUCAACGAGUCGAGUUGUUUGGGAAUGCAGCUCANAAUGGGUGGUAAAUUCCAUCUAAAGCUAAAUAUUGGCGAGAGACCGAUAGCGAACAAGUACCGUGA